UUUUAACUAAAUAUGAUAAAACAGGGCUUUAAAUGACGUGUUUUGAUCACCAGCCAACAUGGCUUGUAGAUUUUUUUAAAGUUACCAGCCAAUCAGAUUUUGCAUUAGCCACAUGUGUUUUGUAACUUAACUUUAACAUCAGCUCCUCUGGUUUGUUUCUCGCCGUUCCAUUCAUCUUCUCCGUUUCAGCGUAGCUCGCAAUCGAUACCAAACAUGCUAG